rnacentral:misc_RNA from 1 species
AAGAUGAAGGCGAUGCACGGCUUCUUCGAGGAAGGCGACAAGGUGAAGGUCACCCUGCGCUUCCGCGGCCGCGAGAUGGCGCACCAGGACCUCGGCGUGAAGGUGCUGGAACGCGUCAAGGCCGAUACGGUCGAGGUCGCCAAGGUCGAGAGCGACUGGCAGCUCGAAGGCCGCCAGAUGGUGAUGGUGCUCGCGCCGAGGUAAGGCGCGAGGCCUGCGCGCCACGCUUAGUGGCGUCGCAUUCGGAUCUGCCUUUCACUAAGCCCGGCCAUCUCGGCCGGGC